GCCCUUAGAGUUUGAUCCUGGCUCAGAUUGAACGCUGGCGGCAGGCCUAACACAUGCAAGUCGAACGGUAACAGGAAGCAGCUUGCUGCUUUGCUGACGAGUGGCGGACGGGUGAGUAAUGUCUGGGAAACUGCCUGAUGGAGGGGGAUAACUACUGGAAACGGUAGCUAAUACCGCAUAACGUCGCAAGACCAAAGAGGGGGACCUUCGGGCCUCUUGCCAUCGGAUGUGCCCAGAUGGGAUUAGCUAGUAGGUGGGGUAACGGCUCACCUAGGCGACGAUCCCUAGCUGGUCUGAGAGGAUGACCAGCCACACUGGAACUGAGACACGGUCCAGACUCCUACGGGAGGCAGCAGUGGGGAAUAUUGCACAAUGGGCGCAAGCCUGAUGCAGCCAUGCCGCGUGUAUGAAGAAGGCCUUCGGGUUGUAAAGUACUUUCAGCGGGGAGGAAGGCGAUAAGGUUAAUAACCUUGUCGAUUGACGUACCCGCAGAAGAAGCACNCGGCAACU
rnacentral:rRNA from 1 species